GAGUUUGAUCUUGGCUCAGAUUGAACGCUGGCGGCAGGCCUAACACAUGCAAGUCGAGCGGUAGAGAGAAGCUUGCUUCUCUUGAGAGCGGCGGACGGGUGAGUAAUGCCUAGGAAUCUGCCUGGUAGUGGGGGAUAACGCUCGGAAACGGACGCUAAUACCGCAUACGUCCUACGGGAGAAAGCAGGGGACCUUCGGGCCUUGCGCUAUCAGAUGAGCCUAGGUCGGAUUAGCUAGUUGGUGAGGUAAUGGCUCACCAAGGCGACGAUCCGUAACUGGUCUGAGAGGAUGAUCAGUCACACUGGAACUGAGACACGGUCCAGACUCCUACGGGAGGCAGCAGUGGGGAAUAUUGGACAAUGGGCGAAAGCCUGAUCCAGCCAUGCCGCGUGUGUGAAGAAGGUCUUCGGAUUGUAAAGCACUUUAAGUUGGGAGGAAGGGCAGUAAAUUAAUACUUUGCUGUUUUGACGUUACCGACAGAAUAAGCACCGGCUAACUCUGUGCCAGCAC
rnacentral:rRNA from 1 species